UUAAAUUGAAGAGUUUGAUCAUGGCUCAGAUUGAACGCUGGCGGCAGGCCUAACACAUGCAAGUCGAACGGUAACAGGAAGCAGCUUGCUGCUUCGCUGACGAGUGGCGGACGGGGGAGUAAUGUCUGGGAAACUGCCUGAUGGAGGGGGAUAACUACUGGAAACGGUAGCUAAUACCGCAUAACGUCGCAAGACCAAAGAGGGGGACCUUCGGGCCUCUUGCCAUCGGAUGUGCCCAGAUGGGAUUAGCUAGUAGGUGGGGUAACGGCUCACCUAGGCGACGAUCCCUAGCUGGUCUGAGAGGAUGACCAGCCACACUGGAACUGAGACACGGUCCAGACUCCUACGGGAGGCAGCAGUGGGGAAUAUUGCACAAUGGGCGCAAGCCUGAUGCAGCCAUGCCGCGUGUAUGAAGAAGGCC
rnacentral:rRNA from 1 species